CCCUUAGAUGUUCUGGGCUGCACGCGCGCUACACUGAUGCACUCAACGAGUUUUCGACCUUGUCCGAGAGGAUUGGGUAAUCUUUUUAAAAUGCAUCGUGAUGGGGAUAGAUUAUUGCAAUUAUUAAUCUUCAACGAGGAAUUCCUAGUAAGCGCGAGUCAUCAGCUCGUGCUGAUUACGUCCCUGCCCUUUGUACACACCGCCCGUCGCUCCUACCGAUUGAGUGCUCAGGUGAAUAAUUCGGACUGCAGCAAUGUUCGGAUCCCGGAUGUUGCCGCGGAAAGUUUAGUGAACCUUAUCACUUAGAGGAAGGAGAAGUCGUAACA
rnacentral:rRNA from 1 species